rnacentral:tRNA from 1 species
GGAGAGAUGUCCGAGCGGUCGAAGGUGCAGUCUUGGAAAGGCUGUGUGCAGCAAUGUACCGGGGGUUCGAAUCCCCCUCUCUCCG